GACCCGGAAGCGGAUCGCGGGGAGUGAAGGCUGCGCCGCCGAGCCUGAGUUUCGCUCUCUCUAGAUUAAAUCUGCGCUUCGCAGUCCCCCUUCUUCCAUCCCCCGGGUCUGGAGGGGUCCCUACAGAUCUUAAAAUGACCACACCGCGCCCUCCACCCCAGGGAAGGUUGACAUUCAGGGACGUGGCCAUCGAAUUCUCUCAGGAGGAGUGGAAAUGCCUGGACCCUGCUCAGAGGGCUUUGUACAGGGACGUGAUGUUGGAGAACUACAGGAACCUGGUCUCCCUGGGUGAGGAUAAUGCCCCUCCAGAAGCUGGGAUCUGCUCUGCUGUAUCUCUGCAUGUUCCCUGUGUGCCUCUUGGGAGCCCCUGCAUUGCUCAAUUAAGACUGAAGCUAUGUUAAUUCUCAGAUGAAAAGCUUAAUAGUGCAGCAUCUGGACUUAAUUAUCCCAUUUUCAAAUGAUCUACCUCCUUCAAGAUAUAUCAUUGGUGGUUCCAGAGCUUAAGUAGAAAUAAACCCUAUGGUAGACUUUAAAAAUA
rnacentral:lncRNA from 1 species